AAAUGAAGGGCUUUUGUUGAACCUAGUUUAGAGUGAAUUUGAAUUUUCUAUGAAAAUUUAGAAGUUUUUUCAAAGACGAGAAGACCCCAAAACCUUUAUUUUAGUUUAUAUAAGCUAAUUUUUAUUUGGGGGAAAGGGUAAUUAGUGUUAAUUGUUUUUUUAUAUUGAACUUUGGUAGGUUAAGUGGAUAGGUACUUUGGGGGUAACAGGAUUAUUUUUUUUU
rnacentral:rRNA from 1 species